CAGUCAUGCUAGUGAGGAAUCAACUUGGUGGUUUACUUCCUUGUGCAUUUUCUCGCUUGGCAGGUUAGCAUCAAUUUUGGUUGUCAUCAAAGAAUUGGGGGAAUGUGGCUUUUCUUCGGUAAAGUGUUAUAGACCCUGAUUGAUGUGGCGACUGGGAUUGAGGUUUGCAGCGGAUG
rnacentral:rRNA from 1 species